rnacentral:rRNA from 1 species
GACGAACGCUGGCGGCGUGCUUAACACAUGCAAGUCGAACGGUAAGGCCCUUCGGGGUACACGAGUGGCGAACGGGUGAGUAACACGUGGGUGAUCUGCCCUGCACUUCGGGAUAAGCCUGGGAAACUGGGUCUAAUACCGGAUAGGACCACUGCCUGCAUGGGUGGUGGUGGAAAGCUUUUGCGGUGUGGGAUGGGCCCGCGGCCUAUCAGCUUGUUGGUGGGGUGAUGGCCUACCAAGGCGACGACGGGUAGCCGGCCUGAGAGGGUGACCGGCCACACUGGGACUGAGGUACGGCCCAGACGCCUACGGGAGGCAGCAGUGGGGAAUAUUGCACAAGGGGCGCAAGCCUGAUGCAGCGACGCCGCGUGAGGGAUGACGGCCUUCGGGUUGUAAACCUCUUUCAGCACCGACGAAGCGCAAGUGACGGUAGGUGCAGAAGAAGGACCGGCCAACUACGUGCCAGCAGCCGCCGUAA